GACGAACGCUGGCGGCGUGCCUAAUACAUGCAAGUCGAGCGAACCAAUAAGAAGCUUGCUUUUUGUUGGUUAGCGGCGGACGGGUGAGUAACACGUGGGUAACCUGCCUGUAAGACCGGGAUAACUCCGGGAAACCGGUGCUAAUACCGGAUAGAUUAUCUUUCCGCCUGGAGAGAUAAGGAAAGAUGGCUUUUGCCAUCACUUACAGAUGGGCCCGCGGCGCAUUAGCUAGUUGGUGAGGUAACGGCUCACCAAGGCGACGAUGCGUAGCCGACCUGAGAGGGUGAGCGGCCACACUGGGACUGAGACACGGCCCAGACUCCUACGGGAGGCAGCAGUAGGGAAUCUUCCGCAAUGGACGAAAGUCUGGCGGAGCAACGCCGCGUGAGCGAAGAAGGUCUUCGGAUCGUAAAGCUCUGUUGUUAGGGAAGAACAAGUAUCGGAGGAAAUGCCGGUACCUUGACGGUACCUGACGAGAAAGCCACGGCUAACUACGUGCCAGCAGCCGCGGUAAUACGUAGGUGGCAAGCGUUGUCCGGAAUUAUUGGGCGUAAAGCGCGCGCAGGCGGUCCUUUAAGUCUGAUGUGAAAUCUUGCGGCUCAACCGCAAGCGGUCAUUGGAAACUGGGGGACUUGAGUGCAGAAGAGGAAAGCGGAAUUCCACGUGUAGCGGUGAAAUGCGUAGAGAUGUGGAGGAACACCAGUGGCGAAGGCGGCUUUCUGGUCUGUAACUGACGCUGAGGCGCGAAAGCGUGGGGAGCAAACAGG
rnacentral:rRNA from 2 species